rnacentral:rRNA from 1 species
GACGAACGCUGGCGGCGUGCUUAACACAUGCAAGUCGAGCGGACAGGCCCUUCGGGGUACUCGAGCGGCGAACGGGUGAGUAACACGUGAGUAACCGGCCCUCGACUUUGUGACAACCCUCGGAAACGGGGGCUCAUACCGGAUACUCGUUCUAAAUCGCGUGAUUUGGGUGGGAAUGUUUUUCGGUCUGAGAUGGACUCGCGGCCGAUCGGCUCGUUGGUGGAGUACUGGCCUACCACGGAGCGGACGGGUAGCCGGCCUGAGAGGGCGACCGGCGACACUGGGCCUGCGGCACGGCCCAGACUCGUACGGUAGGCAGAAGUCGGGAAUAUUGCACAAUGGGCGCAAGCGUGAUACAGCGGCGCCGCGUGCGGGAUGACGGCCUUCGGGUUGUAAACCACUUUCAGCAGGGACGAAGCGUAAGUGACGGUACCUGCAGAAGAAGCGCCGGCCAACUACGUG